UACAGAGGUCCCAAGCGUUGUUCGGAUUCAUUGGGCGUAAAGGGUGCGUAGGUGGCGUCGUAAGUCGGGUGUGAAAUCUCGGGCUUAACCCGGAAAGGUCAAUCGAUACUGCGGGCUAGAGUGCAGAAGGGGCAACUGGAAUUCUCGGUGUAGCGGUGAAAUGCGUAGAUAUCGAGAGGAACACCUGCGGCGAAGGCGGGUUGCUGGGCUGACACUGACGCUGAAGCGCGAAAGCUAGGGAGCGAACGGG
rnacentral:rRNA from 1 species